AUUGAAAUACAGGUUCCCGUAAGAUUACCGAAGUUAAGGAAUGUCGAGCCUGGUCAGUACUUAGAUGGGUAACCGCUUGAGAAUAUCAGGUGC